GGCCACGCAAAAUGCCAAUUCCCAAAUAAUGAAGUCGUUCCCCUCUCACCCCGUGUCCUGCUGCCCACACGCAACACACACCCGUAAACCUAACCCUCCCGCGCCGUCGCCUCCGACCUGCGCGCCGCCGCCGCCGCCACGACCCCGCCUGCUGCUCCCCUCGCGCUCGUCAUCGGACCCCGGGCAUCCUUUCCCUCAGCCCACAGCCGCAGCAGCGCCGUUCGCGACAGAGGAGCAUCGUUCGCCCACGACCCACUUCUGAGGAGCAGCAGCACCGUCCGCUGCUGAGAAGCCGCCCGUCGUUCUUCUUCCUCCAAUGGCGAAAUCUGUACCGGUUGAGCCCCAUUGCGCUACCCCACCUCCAGACCUCGACAAGUUUAAGGGGCAUGGCAUGUUGGCACCAGUCACAGCCGCCGGAUGGCAGAGCAAUGAUGUGCAUCCGCUGGUUAAUGAGAGAUCUGAGGUGGUAGUUAGCCUCCAUUAGUCAAAGCUGCAGCUGAACAAUUAAACAAGUUGUUGAGGAGCUGCCGCCUUGCUACCAAGGAGAAUCAGCGCAGCCCGCUGCCAUGGACCGCCAUCCGCUAGCAAGGAGCAGCACUGCCACUCGCGUCUGAGGAGCACCAUCCGGCCCGCUGCUGAGGAGUACCAUCUGCAGUCAAGGAGCAGCACUAUCGUCGGCUACCAAGGAGAAUCUUCCACCGCCGAGGAGCGACAGCUAUAUCCGCCGCCGAGGAUAGCCACGCCAUGCUGCCAUCCACUUCUGAGGAGCACCAUCCGCCCCACUAAGGAGCAGCAGCUUCGUUCACCACGGAGGAGCAGCCACGACAUCCCACACAGUGGACAAUCACCUUGUUUGCAUCUAAGGAGCACCGUCCACCCCGCCGAGGGGCAGCAGCGCUGUCCGCCGCCCAGGAGCAGCCGCGACGUCCGCUGCUAAGGAGCCACCCGUCGUUCUUCUGCCACCGACAUCUUCUAUCCCGGUUGCCCCCUUUACAUGCCCUGCCUCUUGGACCACAAAGGUAAUAUGCAAAUAUUCUCUUAUCUAUCUCCCCAUAUGUUACUAGCUGUAGUUCACAUUGUUUGAAUGGUUUGUGUCCUGAAUCCCUAUAGCAUGCCUCACGUGAACUUGUUUCGAUAUCUGUAUUAUGUGCUUACUGCUACUUUUUUUUCAUUUCCAUUUCAAUGAGUUAGAUCUCUUCUUCUACUUACGAUUUCCCAUAGGAGUCAGAUUAGAUGAUGAGAUAUGGUACUUGGAAAAAUAGGGUUAUAGAUCCGCAACUCAUCGGGAUGGCAAGCUGUUCACAUUCGAUUACCAGCCACUUCUAUAUUUUUCAUCGUUCCGAUUGUGUUCUAUUAGUCGAUCAAGCUCAUUUCCAUAUGUUUGGAUUCUAAUUUUUCUUGUGGCUGACUGCCAUGUAUGAGUAGGCAUGCUUUUAUUUUUCUGAAAUUUGUUUCUUGCGGUUACUGUUUGUGCAAUAUGAGUUGGAUUUAUGUACUCAUGGAUGACUGUUUGUGCAGAUAAGCUACAGCCUACAAGUAGUUUUCCUUUGUCAAAUUUUUCCAAGCAUGUGUGAUGUUUUAUCAGUUUUUUAUACAGAAGGAGUGGUACGCAUAAUUUUCUU